AACACCAUAGUUCAGUCAGUAGAGCACGAGACUCUUAAUCUCAGGGUUGUGCGUUCAAACUCCACAUUGGAUGAAAGUUU